UUCGCCGCGUUUGGAUGCUAAUUUAGGUUCACAAAGCCAUGAGCAUUAACAGUAAAGCAACAUCCGCCAUUGUUGAUGUAUUUCUGUUUGCCACUGCUGCGCUAACGUUGCUGGGACACGUGAGACGUAUACAGUGACGUCAGACUCGGCUCUGUGAUGGCUCUUUAGCCGGUGGAAAGGCAAACCGGUUCUUAGAAGGUUCGCCAGUGGAACCAACUUUGAACCAGCACCAGUGCUAGCUCUGAACCAGCACCCGGUUCUUUUUGGUGGAAAAGGGGCAUUAUUAGACGACUCUCUAGCCGGUGGAAAGGCAAACCGGUUCUUAGAAGGUUCGCCAGUGGAACCAACUUUGAACCAGCACCAGUGCUAGCUCUGAACCAGCACCCGGUUCUUUUUGGUGGAAAAGGGGCAUUUGUCUUUCCAUGGGCUAUGGAGCCAUCACAGUAGUGAUGGCCAGUUCGUGAACGAAUCGUUCUUUUGAACCGGUUCUUUUUAAAUGGAGUUGGACCCGAAACUCACACUGCAACGACUACUCUGGGAAAAAAAUGACUCUGUCGAGCUCACUUCCAUUUCUACGAAGAAUUUUUUACGGAUUGAGAGACAGCGUUUAAAUGCCAUACAUCAGCUGCAUAACGUGUAGACACAUUAUAAAAUACAAUUCUGCCUCAGGCACGAGCGGCCUUCAGCGUCACACAUGCAAAGAGGUCCGCUCGAGUCAACCGACGUUUAGUUGCCCUCAACCGUAAAGUCGAGAUUCACAUAUGUAAUUGCUUGAAAGUGCAGCCAGGAUCUACUACCGUUCAUUAUUGUUGAAAGACGAGGGUUCAUUGAAGUUGCGAAAGAGCUCAUUAAUGUCCGCGCUAAAUAUGGAAGCAGCAUUGAUGUCAAAGAUGUGCUACCGAGUGCACGCACUAUUUCUCGCCAUGUUAAGGACAAAUACGAGUACAGAAACAUGUUAUGGAUGAGCUACAACAGGGCCCAGACUGUGCUGUGACAACUGACCUUUGGGCAGAAGAAAGGACAAACACGCAUUACAUAACAGUAACGAUUUAUUAUAUUCUUGGAUGGAAAUUGUUCAACCGGGUCCUGGCUACAAGGGAGAUCCUGGGUAUCAAAACCCAUGAAAAUAUCAGAAUGACUGUAGAAUACAUCCUUCAGGAGUUUGGCAUCUUGAGCAAGGAUAUUGUUGUAGUGACCGACAAUGGCUCACAUGUGGUUGCAGCUUUCAAGGAUUACACCAGACUGUCCUGUGCAGGCCAUAACAUUAACCUGAUUCUUAAAUACACAUUUCACUGUUUGGAUGUGGAGAACCCAAAGCACAGCCCAGCCAUUAACCUGUUUAGAGAUGUGAAGACUCUGGUUACACACUUUAAAAGAGCAUGAUCCAGACCUUCUUGAAGGCAUUAUCCACCUUCUGGAACCUUUUGAUGAGGCUAUCAGGCACCAUUCCACUGAUCAGACACCUAGUCUUCACCUUGUCCUCCCAACCAAAGAAACCCUGCUGAGGGGGUUGUUGCUUCAGGAUGGAAACAGUGUUAUCGUGAAAGAGAAGAUCCACCACUAGUGGCCACAGGCACAGAGGUGCACAGUUUCUUCUCAAGCUGUGUGCAGGAGGAGAGGGAAGACCAUAGUAACACAGAGUCACUGAGCCGCGAUUUGGUGCUGAAAUAUAUGAACGAGCCUCUAAAUAUGACCAGCAGUGGCCAGUCCCUUCCCAACUUCUGGUAGAAUAUGUCAGGUGAGAUGGUGCCAAUUGCUAGGAAGCUGCUGGCAAUCCCAGCAACAAGUACCCCUUCAGGAAGGAGCUUCAGUGUUGCUGGAAGAUUAAUUGAGGAGAGGCACACCAGCCUCAGUCCGGAAUGUUUGGACAAUCUCUUGUUUCUGCAUAGCAACAGUGGGACGUCAUCCUAAUGGAAACUCAGUAUAAUUUGUGCAUUAAGCUUGCUUUCAGUUCAAUAAAAUAACAAUAACUGCAUUUAGGGUUUUUAUCAAAUAAGGUUGAUCAACUAAGGCAUGCUUUGAGGGACCUGUACUGUAGUUUUUAAUGUGUUGACACUCUCUUGUUCUUUCAUAGCAACAGUGGGACUUCAACCUAAUGAAAA